rnacentral:rRNA from 1 species
AGCAGCCGCGGUAAUUCCAGCUCCAAUAGCGUAUAUUAAAGUUGUUGCAGUUAAAAAGCUCGUAGUUGAAUUUCGGGGUCAGCAGGUUGGUCGUGCCACUGGUAUGCACUGGUCUCGCUGAUUCCUCCCUCUUGUAGAACUGUAAUGCCAUUAAGUUGGUGUUGCGGAGAAACAGGACUGUUACUUUGAAAAAAUUAGAGUGUUUAAAGCAGGCUAACGCUUGAAUACAUUAGCAUGGAAUAAUGAAAUAGGACGAUCGAUCUUAUUUUGUUGGUUUCUAGGGUUGACGUAAUGAUUAAUAGGGAUAGUUGGG